ensembl:lincRNA predicted gene, 39090
GGAAAGGAAAAGCGUCAUGCUGGAGAAGAGGUUCUGUCUUUGUUUCAACAGGAGAAGAAAAGCUACGGAUUCCUUCAAAAUGAAUGAAAAUCAGAUUUGACCAGGGGAGACCCCCUGAAGAUCCUGACUGCAGACAUGAAAGAAAUCAAGAAUACCAACAAAACAGACAGGUCAGCUCCAGGCAGCACCCCCAUUCUACUUCAUAGAAGAUGAUGAGCAUCGAGAACCUCCGUAUGGAGUUUGCUUCAAACGUGGCAAACAAGCCACUGGGCAGGAAACUGCCCUUGCUUCAGCCGCUGACAGUAUGCUGUCCAAACUGGACCAACAGGAUGCAGGAGUUGCCCUGGUCUCAGUGUCUCUUCACAACAGUGAACAGUGUCUAAACAGGUUUCAAAUUUUGAUUGGUUGGAUGAAGCAUCUAUCAAAAGAAGGCUUAUUGACAGAGUUGGAGAUGCCUGAUACCCCUUGGCUUAGUGCUGAUGAAGGGAUUUUAAGACUCAGGGGAUUGCAGUGCUAGAGUGGGUACGCUGUGUAAAACCUAAUCCUCCAUAAUGUGAAGGCCCAGAAGACACGCCCUUCACAAAUCCUUUAAGACACAAAAUGGUGAGAGGGACACCAGCACAUUUGAAGAGUUUUGCCCUUUUCCUUGUGCCAGACCUAAGGGCUGGAGAUGCUGCUGCCCAGUGGAUGAAUUAAAUGCAAUGGGUUUAACUGGGGCCCAGAGUAGCAGGGCCAGGUGGCAGCACUGAAUUAACUAAGGCAAGGUGAUCAUAGUUAUUCCAAUGAGCAGCACAACCACAAAGCAAUGAUCGUAAUUGCCUGCCAUAAUGGUCAGCACAGGCAAUGUGAAUUUUAGUGUGGCAUGACUGGUAUGGACUUAGGUACUGGGUAACCCACCAUGGUGUUUCCAGGCAUGAAACAGAUAGGAAGCCUACUAUGUUCUCCUCUAUAUAAGCAGAAAAUUUCUCAAACAAAUAAAAGGCUACACUAAGUCAUGACC